rnacentral:rRNA from 1 species
GUCGGGAAUUUUGCUCAAUGGGCGAAAGCCUGAAGCAGCAACGCCGCGUGAGGGAUGACGGCCUUCGGGUUGUAAACCUCUUUUCCCAGGGACGAUGAUGACGGUACCUGGGGAAUAAGCCACGGCAAACUACGUGCCAGCAGCCGCGGUAAUACGUAGGUGGCGAGCGUUGUCCGGAUUUACUGGGCGUAAAGAGCGCGCAGGCGGUCGUUCAAGUCGGAUGUGAAAGCCCCCGGCUCAACUGGGGAGGGUCAUUCGAUACUGAUCGACUCGAAGGCAGGAGAGGGAAGCGGAAUUCCCGGUGUAGUGGUGAAAUGCGUAGAUAUCGGGAGGAACACCAGUGGCGAAGGCGGCUUCCUGGCCUGUUCUUGACGCUGAGGCGCGAAAGCUAGGGGAGCAAACGGGAUUAGAAACCCGAGUAGUCC